rnacentral:rRNA from 1 species
GCGCGAAAACUUUGCAAUGCGGGAAACCGUGACAAGGGAACUCUGAGUGCCCGUUAAAUCGGGCUGUCCAUCGGUUUAAAUAACCGGUGAAGAAAGGGCCGGGCAAGACCGGUGCCAGCCGCCGCGGUAAUACCGGCGGCUCGAGUGGUGGCCACUAUUACUGGGCUUAAAGCGUUCGUAGCUGGUUUGUUAAGUCUCUGGGGAAAUCUUCCGGCUUAACCGGAAGGCGUUUCAGGGAUACUGGCAGACUAGGGACCGGGAGAGGUGAGAGGUACUCCAGGGGUAGGAGUGAAAUCCUGUAAUCCUUGGGGACCACCUGUGGCGAAGGCGUCUCACCAGAACGGCUCCGACAGUGAGGGACGAAAGCUGGGGGAGCAAACCGGAUUAGAAACCCGUGU